GUUCUCUAAAAAGAGACGAAAAUCCCAUCACUAGUUGUGUAAUAUGCUGGUAUUGAUAUGAUCAAAAAUGAACUGAGUUGUUUUGUAUUCUAUAGAAAUUGUACAUCUAAUUAAUAACAAGGCUUUCUGCUGAUGUUAUUAAUUAAAAAUGUAUUGUUUUAUUUUUAAGCAACAACUUUGUCACGGACCCGGUUCCGGGGACUCGGGGUCCGUGAACAGUGUGGACCAUUAUUAUUAUUAUUAUUAUUAUUAUUAUUAUUAGCAUUAUCAUUAUUUGGAUUGUCUUUAUUAUUAUUAUUAUUAUUAUUAUUAUUUUGGUGUGUUGUCUGCACUGCCUCUGAUCUCUGCCCUCAUCUGUAUGUAGGCAGGUUUGUGUGUGUUUGUGUGUUGCUGUUUCUGUGGCCAAGUUACAGGCAUCUUCAGGCCUGAGGGGCGUGGCCUAGCUCGAGGACUGGCCACACCCGAAGCCCUUGCCACACACCUGCUCCUCAUCAGGGCUCGUCGGUGGAACUAUUUAGAGGAGUGAUGGAGCUUCCACCGACGCUGGAUUAUUGCGUUUGACUACACGAGAAAUGUGGGAUGAGAAGGAGCAGUGAGCACGGGGAGUGCAGGGACACUGGGGCAGAGAGCACUACACGGAGACUUUUGGGAAGAAGACACUACACGGGAGUCUGGGAAACUGGGGAUUUAUUGUCAUUUACCUCACCACCUUGUAAAUAAACACUGUUGCACUGAA